GAAAAAUGCUCUGUUUCAAAUGUGCUCUCCUUGCGAUGUCACAGUGGGAUUCUGGUAAAAUAUAAAUAAAACCCUCCCCUAAUAUCUCCACACAUGGACUCCACCCCCAGACUAAAACAAAACUUUAGCGCAGGUCGGCCAUUUUUAUUCUCUCUACAGAGGAGUGAUGAGAAGAUGAGUCUCGAGAACGUCUUUGUGUUUAAAGUCACGAUUUAAUCUUCAUUCACACUCUAACAUUUCAUCUGUUUUUCAG